rnacentral:rRNA from 1 species
GACGAACGCUGGCGGCGUGCUUAACACAUGCAAGUCGAACGGAAAGGCCCUGCUUUUGUGGGGUGCUCGAGUGGCGAACGGGUGAGUAACACGUGAGUAACCUGCCCUUGACUUUGGGAUAACUUCAGGAAACUGGGGCUAAUACCGGAUAGGAGCUCCUGCUGCAUGGUGGGGGUUGGAAAGUUUCGGCGGUUGGGGCUGGACUCGCGGCUUAUCAGCUGGUUGGGGGGGUAGUGGCUUACCAAGGCUUUGACGGGUAGCCGGCCUGAGAGGGUGACCGGCCUCAUUGGGACUGAGAUACGGCCCAGACUCCUACGGGAGGCAGCAGUGGGGAAUAUUGCACAAUGGGCGGAAGCCUGAUGCAGCAACGCCGCGUGCGGGAUGACGGCCUUCGGGUUGUAAACCGCUUUCGCCUGUGACGAAGCGUGAGUGACGGUAAUGGGUAAAGAAGCACCGGCUAACUACGUG